UACGUAGGUGGCAAGCGUUGUCCGGAUUUACUGGGCGUAAAGAGCGCGCAGGCGGUCGUUCAAGUCGCGUGUGAAAGCCCCCGGCUCAACUGGGGAGGGUCACGCGAUACUGAUCGACUCGAAGGCAGGAGAGGGAAGUGGAAUUCCGGGUGUAGUGGUGAAAUGCGUAGAGAUCCGGAGGAACCCAGAGGCGAAGGCGGCGCCCUGGCUCGCAACUGACGCUCAGACACGACAGCAUGGGGAGCGAACGGG
rnacentral:rRNA from 1 species